GCCUGGCUGGCUCAGUCAGUGGAGCAUCCGACUCUUGAUCUCAGGGUCGUGAGUUCAAGUCCCACGUUGGGUA
rnacentral:tRNA from 1 species